ensembl:lncRNA
GAGGACUAGAGGACCAGCUGGAGACCAGAGGACUAGAGGACCAGCUGGAGACCAGAGGACCAGCUGUGUGUGAGUGAGAGUGGCUUUAACAGUUUCUUACUCACUCACUCUACAUCCUCCAAUCGGAACUCACCAGGCGAGGAGCUGGACCAAUAGCAGGCAGAGGGCGACGGUCCCGGCUGUGGUCUGGGCAACGCCCCCCAGCUGGAGGACCACCGCUAGGUUUAUCAGCGUGGCCACGGACGUCCAGGUGGCGUAGAGGGCCAGGCCGUUCUGAACCUAUCACAGGACACGCUCAGCACGGUCCCCACAACGCCUGCCUCCUGCCCUAACACUGAGUACCUCCCAACUGCCCUCCUGAUGGUUAACACUGACCUCCCGCCUUCUGCCCUCCUAUUGGUUAAACAAUGCCGAAUAUCUCUCCUUUUGUUUAAAACAAUGUUAAAUUCAGUGUGAUGAGAUCAGAUCCUCAAAUAUGGAACAUAAGGAAGACGGUGCAGGUUAAGGUUAGGUAAGUGGGGUUGAUUGUGUCGCUGUGUGCUGCUGCAGGCUGGGACAGCUCUGUCUGGUAAAACUGAGCUGGUUCAAUAAAGAUUAUUCAAACUCUACCAGUAUGCGCAGGCAGGCCAGGUCUUUUGGCUGGUGGGUCUGCAGCCACAGACCAUAAUUAUCAGUAGCGUAGCAACAGAAGAACAAGGCGCCGUAGCUGGACAGAGUGAGCAUCACCAAGACGACCAGCGCCGCCACCAUCGCCCUGGAAACAACAAGCACAUCACCAAGGUCCACAGAAUGGAGAAACAUGAGGCUUUUACUUUGAAACUGACUAAUGUCCACAGGAUGGAGAAACAUGGGGCUUUUACUUUGAAACUGACUAAUGUCCACAGGAUGGAGAAACAUGGGGCUUUUACUUUGAAACUGACUAAUGUCCACAGGAUGGAGAAACAUGGGGCUUUUACUUUGAAACUGACUAAUGUCCACAGGAUGGAGAAACAUGGGGCUUUUACUUUGAAACUGAGUUAUGUUCCCAGUCUAGUAUUGAACAGUAGUGUGUAUUAGUACUAGAGUACUCAAACAGUAGUUGUGUAUUGGUACUACAGUAGUGUGUUCUCGUACUACAGUAGUGUAUUAGUAUACGUACUCUCGGUCCCACAGCAGCAGCCAGCUAAUGUUCAGCAGCAUGUUGACCAGCCAGCAGACGUAGAAACCGUAGGGUAACACACACAGGGCCCACGCACUACACAAAAACACACACACACACCCCUUCCAUCAUAAUAGUAACACAGAGCAGACCUUUAUGUUCCAUAGUGUGUGUGUGUGUGUGUGUGUGUGUGUGUGUGUGUGUGUGUGUGUGUGUGUGUGUGUGUGUGUGUACCCUCUGAACAGGUAGGAGGAGAUGUAGAUCAGGGCGAGGCAGAGCCAGGUGUAGAUGAGGCCCCAGAUGGAGAAGGUCCAGCCGGCCGGAGUCACGUCCGUCUCAUAGCGGGACGAGACGUUACCGGUGCUGGAGCCAAACGGACCUGCACACACAGGGGUCAGGCUAGAGGGGGGGGGACGCAACCCUCACAUGUAGGCUGUAUAAGUUAGACAGUACAAAGACGGGUCAUUAAGGAGCAGGUAGGGGUUAGACAGUACAGAGACGGGUCAUUAUGGAGCAGGUAGGGGGUUGACAGUACAGAGACAGGUCACUAAGGACUAUAACUAUGAAUGAACGUAGUUGACAUAAAGUUGGUCACUCCCUGUAGUCUAGUUUCUGAUUAUUGUUCCCAUCGCAGUUCAGCUUCAUGUUGGUUGACCAACAAAGUAAAGUUAGAAUGUUGUUCAGAUAAAAUCAGAAGUUAAUUCAUCAGUAUCGACCGCACGGUAAGACAAUAUUAUAUACUACAUGACAUCUAUGAAAACUCCGUGUUGCGUUCACCUCGCCCCGCCCCAGCCAAGCCGUUGACGACUAAAGUUGUGAGGAAAGACACGACGGACAGCCCGAUGGCGGCAACCCGGGAGCAGACCUCCAGAGACAUCCUCUGCAGAGAUGAGGAAGUAUUGGAAGAGAAGAGAUGAAAAAAAGAAGAGCAGAGACACGACGCCUGAACAGAGAAAGUGAGGUCUUCUUCUCUCUGCUGCUCAGAAAGAAGCUACAAGUGGAAACAGAAGAUAACCCAAUACUGCCCCCAACAGCCAGGCGCUGAUUAACGCAUUAGGACCCCCAGCAGGUCCUCAGAGUGGUCUGCUGCUUCAGGACCGCACUCCUAAGACCGCCGUCCCAGCACCCUGGGUUUCCUUUAUUUUUCUUUGAUGGCUAACGAAUCUCAUGAAUUCCAGAGCUGAUCUGGAGCUGAUCUAGAAUUUCUGGUAGCCAUCUUUCUAACCCUUGCGAAAGAGGUCAAGGUACUGCAUUAAUAUAACAGAGGAGUAUCAGGUCUCUGUCACUGUCAGCUAUAAGUGCCAAGCUGGCUCCUCAGCCCAGCAGACACUCGCUGUGGUUAGGGUUAAAGCCCUCUUCGCCGGCCAGCUCCUCAAGCAGCUGUUCUGAGUCCUCACAUUCAGGAUCCACGUCCUUCAUGCAGUUCCCCAUCAGCAUGUAGAGGUAGUCCAUACCCUCAACUCUCCUGGGAAGGAGAACAAUAAUGGUAUAGGUACAUUUGUGGAACCCAUAUUAACAUUGGUCUGAUUAUAGACAGAAAAUGUGCAGCCCAGAUUCAUGCUAUUAUUGAAUUAUAGCACUUUGUUGUUAUGACUUGGUAACAUAUUUAUUAUUUGAUCACCUGAUCCUCUGUGUUGUGUUUCCAUGUGUGUGUGGGCUUUUGGUUUUCCCCCUUCCUGUUAUUUUAUCUUUCUGCCUGACCUAUAUUUUUAGGACUACAAAUAUGGCGUUCUGCGGUCACAUCGGCACAACUGAAACUUUCCACAUGCCCCGGCUUAUAAUGGUUUUCACCUCUUUCGAUGCAUUUAUCCUCCCUUUGGAAAAAAGCGGUGAGGGAGCAGAGAGAUCGCCGUGUCUGUACCGGAGUUCCAAGUGCGGGUGGUGACUUAUAUAAUUUGCGUCGAGAGCAUCGAAGAGCUGUAGUUCACAAAGCGGCCUCACACUAAACCUAACAUUAUAGAACUUCUUCGUGAAUAUUUUUUGGAUUGAC